CAGCAGCCACGGGAAUACGGAGGAUACAAGCGUUAUCCGGAAUCAUUGGGUUUAAAGGGUCCGUAGGCGGUCUUGUAAGUCAGUGGUGAAAGCCCAUCGCUCAACGGUGGAACGGCCAUUGAUACUGCAGGACUUGAAUUAUUGGGAAGUAACUAGAAUAUGUAGUGUAGCGGUGAAAUGCUUAGAGAUUACAUGGAAUACCAAUUGCGAAGGCAGGUUACUACCAAUUGAUUGACGCUGAUGGACGAAAGCGUGGGUAGCGAACAGGAUUAGAUACCCCAGUAGUCCCUGUCUCUUAUAC
rnacentral:rRNA from 1 species